UACAAAUGAUGACACUUAAGUUGUGAUUGAUAAUGAUUGUAAAACAUUGAGCUUUUUAACACUGAUGAAA